GACUGACCGAUAGUGAACCAGUACCGUGAGGGAAAGGCGAAAAGAACCCCGGCGAGGGGAGUGAAAAAGAACCUGAAACCGUGUACGUACAAGCAGUGGGAGCACAGGUUUACCUGUGUGACUGCGUACCUUUUGUAUAAUGGGUCAGCGACUUAUAUUCUGUAGCAAGGUUAACCGUAUAGGGGAGCCGGAGGGAAACCGAGUCUUAACCGGGCGUUAAGUUGCAGGGUAUAGACCCGAAACCCGGUGAUCUAGCCAUGGGCAGGUUGAAGGUUGGGUAACACUAACUGGAGGACCGAACCGACUAAUGUUGA
rnacentral:rRNA from 1 species